AAGCAUCAUCAAACACCAGAAGCAUAAUUUUUGCAUGGAACUGCAUUGAUCUGAAGAUGAAUCUGAGUUAUUUUAUUCUGCUUGUACUCGUUUCAUAUGCACAUGGUCAGUCACUGACCUCCUCUGGUUCUGAGGUAAAGAAACCCGGAGAAUCAGUCACACUGUCUUGUGUGGCUUCUGGACUGUCCCUUAGCUGGUUGCACUGGAUCCGGCAGAAACAGGGGAAAGGACUGGAGUGGAUUGGGCGUAUUGACGAUGGCACUGGCACUAUUUUUGCUCAGUCCUUACAAGGCCAAUUCUCCAUCACAAAAGACACCAGCAAAAACAUGGUGUACUUGGAAAUAAAAAGUCUGAAAACUGAAGACACAGCCGUUUAUUACUGUGCACGAGAGUCACAGUUACACAAAAGACUGCAGUCUCCAUCAAAAACCUGCAUGCAUGGUGUUUGUGAAGUCAAUCAGACGUGACUAGAACAUUCAUAC